AAAUGUUUUUUUUUUCUUGUAAACUUUAAGUUUUCUUCUAGAUCUGUUCUCCGAUUGAACGUGUCUCCCAUGUGUCUGAUUGGAGUGAUGCUGGGCAACUACUGCAAAAACACAAAGACGAUCUUGACAACAGCGACCAUGAGGAAUCAUCAUCUGGAUCGCUGAACAGAAUUUUCAGCCAGGAUGCAUCUGGUUCUGUCGUAAGUUAACUGUGGAUUAUUGUUCUACAAAUAACUUAGUGUCUCCAUGAAGCUGCUUGUGUCCUUGGAAUUUGCUUCACUGCCUCCCAAUAAAAACUAGUCUCUUAUCUGAAGUCUUGUUUUU
ensembl:lncRNA